rnacentral:misc_RNA from 1 species
CGCCGAGGACACCGCCCUUGGUCUUGAACUCAGACAUUGUCAUCGCGGGGAGUUCGGAAGACUCGUGGUGAGUUGCAGCGUUGUGGUGAACUUCGUGAAUGGGGACGGUGGUGUGGACAACGUUGGGCUGGAUGGUCUCCUUGUGCACAACUGGCUGAAUGGUCUCGUGGAUGUGGUGGUGCACAUGUUCGCCUCCAAUGGCGGCGUUGGCACUCUGUGAGUGAGUAGUGUCCUCAACAGAACGCCUGUCCUUGAACUGGG